rnacentral:tRNA from 1 species
UCCUCCGUGAUGUAAUGGCAGCAAUCACUGACUGUUAAUCAGUGUGUCUAGGUUCGAAUCCUGGCGGGGGAGCCA